AAGAAGGAGAAGGUAGCCCGGAGGACAUCUCCCAGGAAGUGACAUUGAGCUGAAUCCUGAGUGAUGGGGAAAAUGGACCAUUCUGAGAUCCGAAGAAAGACUUCUCAAAGCAGGGGAAACCGUACAGGCAAGGCCCUUUAGCAGGAGCAGACUCAGCCUUUUGGACCAUGAGAAGAUUAGUGCUGUGAGCGGCAGAGAGCCCCCGUUCAUGAAAAGACACUGAAAAGGCGACCAUUCUUCUCACCUGGGGUCUGUGGAAUAAACUGACGUUGAGAAGGAGUUCUACUUCCUAAAAAGAGAAAAGCUGUGCCUUCGUUGAGCCAGGCCCUGUAGAAGUCCCUGGAGAUGCAGAGAGGGUCCCUGACCUCAUGAAUCUACGUCAAUCAUUGCUAUCUCUCCCGACCACCUACAACACGUAUGGCCGAAUUCCGUGCUGCCCCAUCUAAAAGUUCAAUCUCAGCUCACUUUCUCUCCUACUGUCUCAGCAGAGAUCAUCUUAAAGACCCUCUGAAGACGGCCCAUGGCACAUGGUGGAGCUCUGGCCAGACAAUCCUUAGUAGGGAAUAAUCUUCUUUGUCAGGCAAAACAACCUCUAGUCCUUUAGAAACCUGCCCAUCUUCAAACCCUCUGAUCAAAGCACGUUGGUCCUGGGGACACCUGGAUGGCUCAGUCGGUCAAGGGUCCGACUCUUGGUGUCGGCUCAGGUCAUGAUCUCACAGU